UUCCUUAUUUGUAUCUAAUUAAAUUAAUUUUCUGUUUAUUAUGUUAUGUUAUAAUAAACAUGUCAUAUUAUACUCAUAGUUAGUUAAAAUUUACAAAAUACUUUUUGUGCAGAUAACCAGACGAGCAAACAGGGAUGAGAAACUAAAAAUAGUCUUCUAUUCAUCAUAGUUGUAUGAAGAGCGGUUUCACGGUGUACCAUAUAUGUUAUUGACUCUACACUAAAGGAUCGAAACCUUGCUAGGGCGCGCCGCUCCUUUUUGUCUAAUCAGAGCAAAGUGAAUUAGCCCUAACAUGAGACCGCGCCUAAAUGUGUUACUCGUGUUUCGCGCUUUUAAAUCCUUCCUCAGGAGAAGGGUUAAUAAUCGAGAGAUACAAGCCGUAUGUAACCCCUGUAAAUGGGGAUUUCUCUCGUAUGGAGGACAUUGCGUCUGCGUUGAUCGCGACACGAGUAACAGAGCUUGAUAGAGAAAGGGUGGCAACACGUGCUGCCAUCCUCCUGACGUCCGGCGUUGGGGCUAACGUGGGGGAUGGAAACGCGUCAACGAUACGUCGCAGAGGGGUUCAACGAAGGCGGUAGCGCUGUAACCAGUGACGUACUUACAAAGAUCUCAUCAUGCGAGAUCAAUUAGGAGAUUAUCAAAACUAUCGAUACUUCGAUAUAAUAUCGCGGACGGCACAAUUAGCAGACUCUGACGCGCAAUCGCGGCGCGUCAUCGGACGAUGCGCCUGUGCGAGCCAAGGACGACAGAGGUAGAGGGCGAGGACGAGGACGUGGCCGACGUGGUGCGAAGGUGAGGAAGAAGGGAGCAACGUCGUCGUCGUCGUCGUCGCCGUCGUCGUCGUCGUCGUCGUCGUCGUCGUCGUCGUCGUCGCUCGAACCGCAGCGGUAUAGGAACGACGGAAUCGAGGGGUUGAGCGCUUCGUGAC